rnacentral:rRNA from 1 species
ACGAACGCUGGCGGCGUGCUUAACACAUGCCAGUCGAACGGAAAGGCCUGCUUUCCCUUGUGGAUUGCGGGUACUCGAGUGGCGAACGGGUGAGUAACACGUGAGUGAUCUGCCCCCAACUUGGGUAUAAGCCUGGGAAACUGGGUCUAAUUCCCGAUAGGACUGCAGGGUGGUGCCUGUGGUGGAAAACGAUUUUCUAGUGGUUGGGGAUGGGCUCGCGGCCUAUCAGCUUGUUGGUGGGGUAAUGGCCUACCAAGGCGGCGACGGGUAGCCGGCCUGAGAGGGUGGACGGCCACAUUGGGACUGAGAUACGGCCCAGACUCCUACGGGAGGCAGCAGUGGGGAAUAUUGCACAAUGGGCGGAAGCCUGAUGCAGCGACGCCGCGUGGGGGAUGACAGCCUUCGGGUUGUAAACUCCUUUCGACCGCGAGGAAGCCACCUGGUUGGAAGGGUGGUGACGGUAGUGGUAGAAGAAGCACCGGCUAACUACGUG